CCUGCCCGAGGUGGAGCUUUGAGUUCGCUGACGUUUCUUAGCGCCGGCGUUCGAACAGGGGAAACAUUUGUUCAGCUGUCAAUCAAAAUGCAGCCAUUGUUCUGGCACAGUACUGUAGAAUGCCUGUUGCAUUUGACCCAAAGAGUGAUGUGAUGGUACAGAGAGACCCAUGGGUGUAGAGUCACCAAUAUAUGAUGGAAGAUUCAUAACUGGGUGUCAGAAACCCAUUGAUGCACUGGCACGUUAUUCUGUAUGAUGUAAAGCUUCAGUCUUUGCAAACAAUACACUUCUGCAUUUGAAGUUUAUCUACAAAUCAUUUGCUGUCAUGGUCUUGAAAUUUCCCUACUUAGGUAGGAAAACGCCCAUUGAAAUCUAUGGGAAUUUUCCUUGCAGAGGGAAUCCAGUCUACAGCCAAUUUUGUAUUAGUAUAACCAGAUAGAUUUUGCAAAAACAU